rnacentral:rRNA from 1 species
AUUGAACGCUGGCGGCAGGCCUAACACAUGCAAGUAGAACGAGUGGCGGACGGGUGAGUAAUGUCUGGGAAAUUGCCUGAUGGAGGGGGAUAACUACUGGAACCGGUAGCUAAUACCGCAUACCAUCAGAUGUGCCCAGAUGGGCUUAGCUUGGUGGUGGGGUAACGGCUCACAAGGGCGACGAUCCCUAGCCGGUCUAGGAGGAUGACCAGCCAAACUGGAACUACGACACGGUCCAGACUCCUACGGUAGGCAGCAGUGGGGAAUAUUGCACAUGGGGCGCAAGCCUGAUGCAGCCAUGCCGCGUGUAUGAAGAAGGCCUUCGGGUUGUAAAGUACUUUCAGCGGGGAGGCGUUACCCGCAGAAGAAGCACCGGCUAACUCCGUGCCAGCAGCCGCGGUAAUUC